rnacentral:rRNA from 1 species
GGCUGCAGUAUUUUGACUGUACAAAGGUAGCAUAAUCAAUAGUCUUUUAAUUGGUGACUUGUAUGAAAGAUUGGAUGAAAUAUAUACUGUCUCUAAAUAAUUUUUAGAAAUUAAUUUUUUAGUUAAAAAGCUAAAAUAAUUUUAAAAGACGAGAAGACCCUAUAGAGUUUAAUAAUUUAUUUUAUUGUUAUUAUUAUAUAAUUUUUAAAAUUAAAAUUAAGUAAAUUAUUUUGUUGGGGUGAUAAAAAAAUUAAAUUAACUUUUUUUAGUUUUUUACAUUGAUUUAUGAUUAUAUGAUCCAUUAAUAGUGAUAAAAAGAAAAAAUUACCUUAGGGAUAACAGCGUAAUUUUUUUUUUUAGUUCAAAUAGGAAAAAAAGUUUGCGACCUCGAUGUUGGA